rnacentral:rRNA from 1 species
UACGUAGGGUGCAAGCGUUGUCCGGAAUUAUUGGGCGUAAAGCGCGCGCAGGCGGUUCUUUAAGUCUGAUGUGAAAGCCCACGGCUCAACCGUGGAGGGUCAUUGGAAACUGGAGAACUUGAGUACAGAAGAGGAAAGCGGAAUUCCACGUGUAGCGGUGAAAUGCGUAGAGAUGUGGAGGAACACCAGUGGCGAAGGCGGCUUUCUGGUCUGUAACUGACGCUGAGGCGCGAAAGCGUGGGGAGCAAACAGG